rnacentral:rRNA from 1 species
AUUGAACGCUGGCGGCAGGCCUAACACAUGCAAGUCGAGCGAGCGGCGGACGGGUGAGUAAUGUCUGGGAAACUGCCUGAUGGAGGUGGAUAACUACUGGAAACGGUAGCUAAUACCGCAUACCAUCAGAUGUGCCCAGAUGGGGGUAGCUAGUAGGUGGGGUAACGGCUCACCUAGGCGACGAUCCCUAGCUGGUCUGAGAGGAUGACCAGCCACACUGGAACUGAGACACGGUCCAGACUCCGACGGGAGGCAGCAGUGGGGAAUAUUGCACAAGGGGCGAAAGCCUGAUGCAGCCAUGCCGCGUGUGUGAAGAAGGCCUUCGGGUUGUAAAGCACUUUAAGCGGGGAGGCGUUACCAGCAGAAGAAGCACCGGCUAACUCCGUGCCAGCAGCCGCGGUAAUAC